rnacentral:rRNA from 1 species
CUACACGGGUAUCUAAUCCUGUUUGCUCCCCACGCUUUCGCGCCUCAGUGUCAGUUACAGGCCAGAAAGUCGCCUUCGCCACUGGUGUUCCUCCACAUAUCUACGCAUUUCACCGCUACACGUGGAAUUCCACUUUCCUCUCCUGCACUCAAGUUCCCCAGUUUCCAAUGACCCUCCCCGGUUGAGCCGGGGGCUUUCACAUCAGACUUUUGGAACCACCUGCGCGCGCUUUACGCCCAAUAAUUCCGGACAACGCUUGCCACCUACGUAUUACCGCGGCUGCUGGCAC